AGGGUGUAAGUUUUAUAAUAUCUCUCUUGCAUGGAGAAGAGGCUUGGAUGCACACCUUG
rnacentral:tRNA from 1 species